UACAGAGGUCCCAAGCGUUGUUCGGAUUCAUUGGGCGUAAAGGGUGUGUAGGCGGCUAGGCAAGUCAGGUGUGAAAGCCCCGAGCUUAACUCGGGAAUUGCAUCUGAAACUGCUGUGCUUGAGUUCUGGAGGGGGUAGUGGAAUUCCCAGUGUAGCGGUGAAAUGCGUAGAUAUUGGGAGGAACACCUGCGGCGAAGGCGGCUACCUGGACAGAAACUGACGCUGAGGCGCGAAAGCUAGGGGAGCGAACGGG
rnacentral:rRNA from 1 species